AUUGAACGCUGGCGGCAGGCCUAACACAUGCAAGUCGAGCGGGGUUUUCGGACCUAGCGGCGGACGGGUGAGUAAUGCGUAGGAAGCUACCCGAUAGAGGGGGAUACCAGUUGGAAACGACUGUUAAUACCGCAUAAUGUCUACGGACCAAAGUGUGGGACCUUCGGGCCACAUGCUAUCGGAUGCGCCUACGUGGGAUUAGCUAGUUGGUGAGGUAAUGGCUCACCAAGGCGACGAUCCCUAGCUGGUCUGAGAGGAUGAUCAGCCACACUGGAACUGAGACACGGUCCAGACUCGUACGGGAGGCAGCAGUGGGGAAUAUUGGACGAUGGGCGCAAGCCUGAUCCAGCCAUGCCGCGUGUGUGAAGAAGGCCUUCGGGUUGUAAAGCACUUUCAGUAGGGAGGAAGCGUUGUGUGUUAAUAGUACACAGCGUUGACGUUACCUACAGAAGAAGCACCGGCUAACUCUGUGCCAGCAGCCGCGGUAAGAC
rnacentral:rRNA from 1 species